CCACCCCAAAAAUGUCAAUAAAGACAUAACAACAACCGUAGGAAUAAAAAUGCUUGCCACAAAAUCUGCAAAUUUCUGAAUUGGAGCUUUGGACAUUUGGGCUGUCUCAACCAAGCUAAUUAUCUGGCUCAAAACUGCAUCAGAUCCUACUUUGGUAGCUUGUAUUUGAAGCACACCAUGCAAAUUUAUUGUACCUCCAAUAACCAAAGAAUUAGCCUCCUUCAAAACAGGUGCAGAUUCACCAGUUACCAUGCUUUCAUUAACAUAACUUGAACCCCAUACAAC
rnacentral:misc_RNA from 1 species